AUUGAACGCUGGCGGCAGGCCUAACACAUGCAAGUCGAACGCUUGGCGGACGGGUGAGUAAUCUCUUGGAAACUGCCUGAUGGAGGGGGAUAACUACUGGAAUCUGUAGCUAAUACCGCAUACCAUCGGCUGUUCCCAGAUGGGAUUAGCUAGUAGGUGGUGUAACGGCUCACCUAGGCGACGCUCCCUAGCUGGUCUGAGAGGAUGACCGGCUAGACGUGAGCUGAGACACGGUCCAGACUCGUAAGAGAGUCAGCAGUGGGGAAUAAUGCACAAUGGGCGCAAGCCUGAUGCAGCCAGGCGGCGUGUAUGAAGAAGGCCUUCGGGUUGUAAAGUACUGUCAGCGGGCAGGCGGUACCAGCAGAAGAAGCACCGGCUAAAUACGUGACAGCAGCCGCGGUAAUAC
rnacentral:rRNA from 1 species